AGGUGUCAGCAGGCAGCCGCCGGUUCUUCGAACUGGAGGAAAGUCCGGACUCCGCAGAGCAGGGAGUCCCCAUUCAAUGGGGAUGCCGGGGACCAUACGCCCCGGAAAGGAAAGUGCAGCAGAAAACAAACCGCCGGAUGAAAAUCCGGUAAGGGUGAAAAGGCGGGGCAAGAGCCCGCCGGGAGCCGGAGUGAUCCGCUCCGUCUUUGCAAACCCCUCCCGGAGCAAGACCAAAUAGGGGAUGAGCUGCUGCUCGCAGCGUCUGAAUCCCGGGUACUGGUCGCAUAGACAGAUGGUUGCCGCUCUUGAAAAAGAGAACAGAAUCCGGCUUAUCGCUGGCACCUCGUU
rnacentral:RNase_P_RNA from 1 species